CCUACGGGAGGCAGCAGUCGAGAAUCAUUCACAAUGGGGGAAACCCUGAUGGUGCGACGCCGCGUGGGGGAAUGAAGGUCUUCGGAUUGUAAACCCCUGUCAUGUGGGAGCAAAUUAAAAAGAUCGUACCACAAGAGGAAGAGACGGCUAACUCUGUGCCAGCAGCCGCGGUAAUACAGAGGUCUCAAGCGUUGUUCGGAAUCACUGGGCGUAAAGCGUGCGUAGGCUGUUUCGUAAGUCGUGUGUGAAAGGCGCGGGCUCAACCCGCGGACGGCACAUGAUACUGCGAGACUAGAGUAAGGGAGGGGGAACCGGAAUUCUCGGUGUAGCAGUGAAAUGCGUAGAUAUCGAGAGGAACACUCGUGGCGAAGGCGGGUUCCUGGACAUUAACUGACGCUGAGGCACGAAGGCCAGGGGAGCGAAAGGGAUUAGAUACCCCAGUAGUC
rnacentral:rRNA from 1 species